rnacentral:rRNA from 1 species
GGAAUUUUGGACAAUGGGCGAAAGCCUGAUCCAGCAAUGCCGCGUGAGUGAAGAAGGCCUUCGGGUUGUAAAGCUCUUUUGUCAGGGAAGAAACGGUGAAGGCUAAUAUCCUUUGCUAAUGACGGUACCUGAAGAAUAAGCACCGGCUAACUACGUGCCAGCAGCCGCGGUAAUACGUAGGGUGCAAGCGUUAAUCGGAAUUACUGGGCGUAAAGCGUGCGCAGGCGGUUUUGUAAGUCUGAUGUGAAAUCCCCGGGCUCAACCUGGGAAUUGCAUUGGAGACUGCAAGGCUAGAAUCUGGCAGAGGGGGGUAGAAUUCCACGUGUAGCAGUGAAAUGCGUAGAUAUGUGGAGGAACACCGAUGGCGAAGGCAGCCCCCUGGGUCAAGAUUGACGCUCAUGCACGAAAGCGUGGGGAGCAAACAGGAUUAGAUACCCCAG